rnacentral:lncRNA from 1 species
UCGGUGGGUAGUAUCAUGGGUUGUUUUGGCUUUACCAUCCCGUAUGGUGGUCACGGUUCUUGCGCAAAAGUAGACAUCUCAAUCUCUGUGGGUUGUAUAGCAUCCCAGGCUCAUUUUUAAAGAUUUCACCCCUUUGUAAAAACCACCCUUUCAAAAUUUAUUUUCCUUCAAAAUGAAAAUUCUUGCUGCUAGAAGCCACAAGAACAGUAGUUUUUCCCUAGAGCAAAGUUUGAAAGGAUGUCACAUUGAGGGGGAGGCAAGCUUGUUUUCUGCUGCUCAGGAGACUAAGACCUGGAGCAAUGGAUUAAAAUGCAGGGCAAGAGAUUCCACCUCAACAUUAAGAAGAACUUCCUGACAUGUUCGCAACAGGCACCCCCAGACUCAGAAGAAGCUGACGUAGCUGCAUUUUGCAGCCAAUGGAGGAAAUGCCUUUGGUGGCACAGAUUCAAGGAAUCCCUGAACUCAGAAAGAGAUGAAUUGGGACUGCGCAAAACUGCAUCGUGGCCUGAGCCUACCUUCACAUCGAUGGCCCAAGAAGUCUCUGCUCCGUAGUCAUAUUCCAGUCCUGCUGAAAGAAGUACUGACUAUUGGAGAUAUGAAAUAAAACUCAUAAGCAAAAUGGUCACUAGAUGGGCUAGGCUACUGAAUACCUUCCAGAUGUUUUGGAUUACAGGACUCCUUCAUCCCUAUCUAUUGGCCAGGGCUAGAAUUGACUAG